GAUGAAGAACGUAGCGAAAUGCGACAAGUAAUGUGAAUUGCAGAAUUCAGUGAAUCAUCGAAUCUUUGAACGCACAUUGCGCCCCUUGGUAUUCCGAGGGGCAUGCCUGUUCGAGCGUCAUUAUAACCCCUCAAGCUCAGCUUGGUGUUGGGGCCUGCUGCACUGGCAGCCCUUAAAAUCAGUGGCGGCGCCAUCUGGCUCUAAGCGUAGUAAUUCUUCUCGCUAUGGAGUCCUGGUGGAUGCUUGCCAUCAACCCCCAAUUUUUCUAUGGUUGACCUCGGAUCAGGUAGGGAUACCCGCUGAACUUAAGCAUAUCAAUAAGCGGAGGA
rnacentral:misc_RNA from 1 species